CCAAAGCAGUGUCCUGUGCUAAAGGGAAAAAUGGAAUGCUGGAGAGCUGGUGCCUCUCGUUGCCUCUUGCUUACACCGUUGCAGUACUGAUUAGGAUGAAUGUGAUUUGGAGAAAUUCUGUUUCCUGUCUAAGGAUAAGAAAGGUGCCACGUAGAUACCAAAGUGGUAAUCACCCAGCGGCCCCUCUGGGAUCAAGGAUUUUAACUGACCCAGCCAAAGUUUUUGAACACAACAUGUGGGAUCACAUGCAGUGGUCAAAAGAAGAAGAAGCAGCAGCCAGAAAAAGAGUAGAGGAAAACUCAGCUGUGCGAGUCCUUCUGGAAGAACAAGUUAAGUAUGAGAAUGAAGCUAGUCAAUAUUGGGAUACAUUUUAUAAGAUUCAUAAGAAUAAGUUUUUCAAGGAUCGUAAUUGGCUGUUGAGGGAAUUUCCUGAAAUUAUUCCAGUUGAUCAAAAAACUGAAGAGAAGACACAAGAAUCAUCAUGGGAUAAUGUGAAAACUGGUGCUGCAAAUUGUUUCUCAAGAAUGCACUGCCCUAUUAUGCCUGAGGAAAAAAAUCUUGGUAUGAAAAGGUGUGGUUCAUCAGAUGGUCCAAGCAGAGCAAGAUCUCAUUUUUCCAACCUAGACUCUGAAGAACACAGCGAAGGACCUCUGAAGACCGAAUUGUUUCCUGGUAGCAGUGCCACUUUCAGAAUCCUUGAGGUUGGCUGUGGUGCCGGAAAUAGUGUUUUUCCAAUUUUGAACACUUUACAGAAUGCUCCAGAGUCCUUUCUUUAUUGUUGUGAUUUUGCUUCCGGAGCUGUGGAACUAGUAAAGUUGCACUCAUCCUACAGAGCAGCUCAGUGUUGUGCCUUUGUUCAUGAUGUUUGUGAUGAAGAUUCACCGUACCCUUUUCCAGAUGGGAUCCUGGACGUCAUUCUCCUUGUCUUUGUGCUCUCUUCUAUUCAUCCUGACAGGAUGCAAGGUGUUAUAAACCGACUGUCCAAGUUACUGAAGCCUGGGGGAAUGCUGCUAUUUCGGGACUAUGGAAGAUAUGAUAAGACUCAGCUUCGUUUUAAAAGGGGUCAUUGCUUAUCUGAAAAUUUUUAUGUGCGAGGAGAUGGUACCAGAGCAUAUUUCUUUACGAAAGGGGAAGUCCACACUAUGUUCUGCAAGGCUGGGUUAGAUGAGAAGCAAAAUCUGGUUGAUCGUCGCUUACAAGUUAAUAGGAAAAAACAAGUGAAAAUGCACCGAGUGUGGGUUCAAGGCAAAUUCCAGAAACCAUUACACUUGACUCAAAAACCCUCCAAAUUGGUAUCACCACUCCUUUCUCAUGGCUGAGUUAUGUAUCAUGUUAAGGUACAAACCAGAGGAUUACACUAUUCAAAGACUUCUGUAAAUCUUUCAUUUUUGAAAGGGAAGACAAGAGAAUUUGUAUAUCCUGCUGUUUAUCAUGGGACCCUUAUGUUUUCCAUCAUGAUGUGUCACAAAGUAUGAAUUUAUUGAUCUUCAAAAACCUGGAAAGAUGGGACACAGCUUUAGGAGAAACACACCCAGAGAAGUGCAGGCAGAAGGGGACAUUGAGCCAGAAGAUUGCCCUCAUUCACCAGUAUGACAGAGGAAGGUACAGAUUACAUAUCAAUAUGAUGUAGUCACCAAGUAAUUCAUGAUCUUCUGACCCUCUGCGAGAAGACUAAUGGAAGGCACGUGAAGAAUGCAGGCCAGCAUAGCCUAUGAGACAAGGCCUCAAUGUAUAGUCACCACCAUUUAGUUAGGUUUGAGAGAAGCCCCCAAAAUAUCUCUGUGUUCCUGCCCAAACUUCAAACCAGCUGAGAGAAGCUGAUACUGGAGAAAAAUGGCCCAGGGUACAUGGGAAAAAUUGGCUUCCUACUAUUCAAUCCAGGAAUCAAGACCCACAGAUUGACUGUGCUCAUGGGGGUCUGCCCCUGUACAGCCUCUUACAGAGUAGCCAGUUUCCGAGAGAGAGAGAGGAGGAGGACUAGGUUAAGCAUGCCUAAUUCGUUUCCCAAAUUCACCUGUAUAAGGUACUCUACCUCUCUCAGGAAUGAAGAAAGCAGGAUUAAAGAAACCAGGUGGGUCCCUCCACAUGGCGAGAAACAACAGGAGUGGGCGUUACCUGAAAUGUUUAUAAGUGCCUAGUAAACUUAUGCCACAUCUACUGAGGCUAGAGCAAUGUGGAGUGGACUCUACUAUGCCCUUUGUGACUUGCUGAGUAGUAGGCUUAGAGAGCUACCCCUUCACUAGUUGUUCAGCAUUUACCUAUAAUCUUGCGGCAGUGGACGAGGUCUAUGAGCACCUGCCUUGGUGAUGGAUGGAAUCUUCAGGGUAUGCACUGACACAUGUAGACGGUUGGAAUGCUGGGAACUAAAAGUGAGUUUCCAAAGGUAUUACCAGUGAAUUAUUCUGGAAACCCUACUACACUUAAAUCUUUACUAGACUGCUAAAUAAAUGGUCAGGAGAUCUAACAACUCUGCCAAGCCCCGCUUCUAUAUUGACUUGCAAAACAAAUAAAUGGCUCUAGCCCAGCACUUCUCAAACUAUCUGAGGUAAAGGAUGAGUUGUUGCCUUUUGUUUUGUUUUGCCUAUUUGCAACCUGUCAUAGACCAAUACUUUUCAAAGAUAAAUUACUAGGAAAAAAAAAAAAAAAGACGUCCUCCAGUUCCUGGCAUUGUGUUUCCUAGUCUCUGCCCUCUCCCCAGCAAUCUCUCCUUAUUAUCUCCCAGACAGCCAGUGUAUACCAGCUACAUGUCAAGCGCUGCUCUGGUGUUUGGAAAUAAAGGGAUGAACAGGAGAAAAUAAAGAUGGGUAAUAUACAAGCCCAAGAUUUUUAUUAGAUUCAACAGACGUAAAUUUAUUCAGUUUCUCUACUUACCUUGACACAGGCUGGCAAUAAAACAGACUAGCAUCUGCCCACAGCCCACACCUUGAGCUGCCCUACUCUAGACCACGGGAGACGACUAAACCCACAUCACGUUAUUUGUUCUGCUUCACCUCCUGAACCCUGUGUCCCUUCACCUUUGGGUGUACAGCACCAGGACCCGGCUUGUGCACCUAGAAAAUGUGUAGUUCAGGUGCUCAGUGCUGUUGCCUGGUAUCCUUUUUACACACUUGGUUGUAUUAAGCACCCAAAACCACACCACACCACCCAGCUCUCACCAGGAUUUCUGGUGAUUAUUGUUCCUUUUACUUGUUCCUUUUUUAAAAAAUAGCUUUUUGUGAAUAUGUGAACAGGUGCUUAAUAGUUUCUAUCCCGAUUUAAAAGGGAAGGGAGAUGAUUCUAUUAUUCUUGUGUUGAAGUCAAAACUUGCGAUUUUUUUCCCCCCACUGAAUGGUGUUUUAAAGACAGAGUUGAUGCCAAACUCAAAGAACGUGGGGAACUUGGGGAAGGCCGGAGAUAGAUAAGAUUAUUAAUAGUUUAUUUAUAAGGCUGUGUUUAGAAGCUAAAGAAAAUGUUGAUUUGUCCUAGAAGAGCACACUAGAAGAUGAGAAUGAUAGUUCCCAGGGAGGAACAGGCAAAAAGGGUUCUCAGAGAAGAAACACGGGACCCAUCUGGGUAUCUGAGCCUCAGUGUCCUAAACUAUAAAUUGGAGACAAUAUUGCUGACCUGAAGAUUGUUGCAAAUACAAAAUACAAAGCACAUCAAAUGUAAGGCAUGGUGCCUGGAGAUGAUUGGUGCUUAAUAAGUGAUCAUUAUUAAUCUAUCACUAAUAGUUGUGUGUUUUUUUUUUUUUUAACAAAGGAUGGUGAUCAAGUCUUUGUCUCUUUUGGGGAGAGGAGGAGAAAUGGACUCUUUCUGCAAUAUAAAUAAAUUAGCCAUAAGAAACUGUUCCUAACUAUGAA